AGAGUUUGAUCAUGGCUCAGAGCGAACGCUGGCGGCAGGCUUAACACAUGCAAGUCGAACGGGCAUAGCAAUAUGUCAGUGGCAGACGGGUGAGUAACGCGUGGGAACAUACCUCUUGGUUCGGAACAACACAGGGAAACUUGUGCUAAUACCGGAUAAGCCCUUACGGGGGAAAGAUUUAUCGCCGAGAGAUUGGCCCGCGUCUGAUUAGCUAGUUGGUGUGGUAAAGGCGCACCAAGGCGACGAUCAGUAGCUGGUCUGAGAGGAUGAUCAGCCACAUUGGGACUGAGACACGGCCCAAACUCCUACGGGAGGCAGCAGUGGGGAAUAUUGGACAAUGGGCGCAAGCCUGAUCCAGCCAUGCCGCGUGAGUGAUGAAGGCCUUAGGGUUGUAAAGCUCUUUUUGUACGGGAAGAUAAUGACGGUACCGUAAGAAUAAGCCCCGGCUAACUUCGUGCCAGCCGCCGCGGUAAUA
rnacentral:rRNA from 1 species